CGCGUAGGCGGCUUUGCAAGUCGGGUGUGAAAUCCCCAGGCUCAACCUGGGAACUGCAUUCGAGACUGCAUUGCUAGAGUAUGGGAGAGGGAAGUGGAAUUUCCGGUGUAGCGGUGAAAUGCGUAGAUAUCGGAAGGAACAUCAGUGGCGAAAGCGACUUCCUGGACCAAUACUGACGCUCAUGUGCGAAAGCGUGGGGAGCAAACA
rnacentral:rRNA from 1 species